rnacentral:tRNA from 1 species
GGGGAUUUAGCUCAGUGGUAGAGCGCUUGCCGCUUGCCUAGCAAGCGCAAGGCCCUGGAUUCAGUCCCCA